UUGCUGUAGUUGGUACGUGCUGUCGAGAAAAUAGCAGAGGAAAAUAUUUGAACUUGGAAGGUGUUGUGCGGAAUUGUGUGUGCGUUGCCAAGCGCAGAAUCUGGUAUUGCAAUAGCGAGUUCACCUAGUUGCUGUAGUGUUCACGUUAGAAAAGUAGUAGAGAAACUAUAUUUCAGCUUUGAGUUUGUGAUUUAGAGUUUCUUGUCCG